UAGUAACGGCGAGUGAAGAGGGAAAAGCUCAAAUUUUGAAUCUGGUGUCUUUGGCGCCCGAGUUGUAAUCUAGAGAAGUGUUUUCCGCCUCGGACCACACAUAAAUUCCCUGGAAUGGGGUGUCAUAGAGGGUGAGAAUCCCGUUUGUGGUGUGGACUACCUUGGCUCUGUGAUACACUCUCAACGAGUCGAGUUGUUUGGGAAUGCAGCUCAAAAUGGGUGGUAAAUUCCAUCUAAAGCUAAAUAUUGGCGAGAGACCGAUAGCGAACAAGUACCGUGAGGGAAAGAUGAAAAGCACUUUGGAAAGAGAGUGAAACAGUACGUGAAAUUGUUGAAAGGGAAGCGUUUGAAGUCAGUCACAUCGGUCGGAAUUCAGCCUGGCUUUGCCUGGUGUACUUUUUGGCAGAUGGGUCAGCGUCAAUUUUGACUGAGGGAAAAAGACUUGAGGAAUGUGGCUGUCUUCGGGCAGUGUUAUAGCCUCUUGUUGUAUGUCUCAGUUGGGAUUGAGGACCGCAGCACGCCUUAUGGCCGGGGUUCGCGCCCUCGGAACGUGCUUAGGA
rnacentral:rRNA from 1 species